UACGGAGGUUGCAAGCGUUAUCCGGAUUUAUUGGGUUUAAAGGGUGUGUAGGCGGACUUUUAAGUCCGUGGUGAAAUCUCCGGGCUCAACCCGGAAACUGCCAUGGAUACUAUUGGUCUUGAAUAUUGUUGAGGUGGGCGGAACGGGUCAUGUAGCGGUGAAAUGCAUAGAUAUGACCCGGAACACCGAUUGCGAAGGCAGCCCACUAAGCAAUGAUUGACGCUGAGGCACGAAAGCGUGGGGAUCAAACAGG
rnacentral:rRNA from 1 species